rnacentral:lncRNA from 1 species
GUUUGCAGAAUUACACCAUCUAGAACACUCAGUGCUGAGGAUAGAGAAGUUCUUAGGUCCUUUUUAUUUUUUUACUUUUUUUUUUUUUAGAAAUUUUAUUUGUUGUUUUGUAAUUUUGAGACAGGAACUGUGUUUCUUACUGGCCUGGAACUCACUACAUAGACCAGACUGGCCUGAAGAAUCAGAGAUCUGCCUGCAUGUGCCUCCAGAGGGUGAGGAUUAAAGUUUCCCCUCGUUGAUGUGCUCAUAGAUCGCGUCUGCGCCCUGAUCCAAGGCACGCUCGAAGAACAGGGCGCCCACUGCGAUGGUGAGGGCGAAGGUGGAAGUUCUGCGGAACAGCAAGGAGUACAGACGCGAAGGGAUCGUCGGCAACGACAUGUUGCCUCACUGCCGAACUCGCGCCACUGCCAGAUGUAUUUCUUUAUGUUCCGGUGCCACAUGCAUGCCUGGUACCUGAGGAUGACAGAAGAGGACAUCAGGUCCCCUGGAACUUGAGUUGCAAUUCUGGAAAAGGGUCCCACCCCUGCCAAAGAGCGGCAGAAAACGAGAAACGGCGCUUCCUGAUAUUCUCCCUGGCCCUUGUAUCCUGUCUUCAAGCCUAAGGCCAAACAGCUCUGGGUCUCCCCAGACUGUCGCCACCCCCGUCUCACCCUCAUACCUAGCACAUCCCCAAAGGGUCUCUGAGCGCCUCCAUCAGGAAGAAGUCAGCGAGCUUGGCAACAGAUGACUUAGAUGACUCUGGGUCUUACAGACGUCGGGAACCCCACAUGGCCUCUGCCUCCUGCCCCACUCAGCACCGCUGCUCCCUGAAGAUGUACCGCUUGCCUUUGGCACACAAGCUGCCCAGGCUGCUCAUAUUCACAGUAGGCAGACUGCUUGGCGCUGCAGAGCACUGUAGUUUUCAAGGCCCAGUCUCAGUCCUGACUCCAUCUGUCCCUCCUCAGCAGGCCAGGGAGGGGAAGAAGGCUGCUCAAGGUCCCGCACGAUGAGAGCUCAUCCCUUGGUGCUUCCAGUCUCUAAACCACACCCCUUUCUUCGGUGCCCCUUCACCAGACUCCUGUCAGACUCCCCGUUUUUGCUCAAUCACUGGCUGCCCCCACACCAUCCCUGCUGCCCCUCAUGUGGGGAAGUAGGUGGGUGGGCAAUAAGAAUACAGCCACAAAGCCACAGGAUGAAAAGAAACCAAAAUCCUUUUUUUUUUUUUUUUUUAAUAAAUUUAAGAACAAUCCCA